rnacentral:rRNA from 1 species
AUACGGGGGAUUCAAGCGUUAUCCGGACUUAUUGGGUUUAAAGGGUGCGUAGGCUGAUAAAUCAGUCAGCGGUGAAAUUUACGGGCUUAACUUGUAGCUUGCCGUUGAAACUAUUUAUCUAGAGAUAUUUCGUCGUAUGCGGAAUGUAUCAAGUAGCGGUGAAAUGCAUAGAUAUGCUACAGAACACCGAUCGCGAAGGCAGCCUUCCGGCCCGUCAACGACGCUCAUGCUCGAAGGUGCGGGUAUCAAACAGGAUUAGAUACCCUGGUAGUCCGCGCAGUAAACGAUGGACUCCCGCGGUUUGGCCUGUAUGGCUGAGCCGCCAAGCGAAAGCGUUAAGUGUCCCACCUGGGGAGUACGCCGGCAACGGUGAAACUCAAAUGAAUUGACGGGG